GGAAGUAAAAAGUCGUAACAAGGUCUCCGUUGGUGAACCAGCGGAGGGAUCAUUACAGGACUCGCAAGACUCCUACAACCCUGUGAACUUAACUAUAAGCACGUUGCUUCGGCGGGUGUCUCGGAGGGGGUUCUCCCUCCCCGAGACGCUAAACCCGCCGGCAGCCUACUAUACUCUGUCUCUUUGCGUUGGCAUCUCGAGUACAAUCAAACAAGUUAAAACUUUCAACAACGGAUCUCUUGGUUCUG
rnacentral:misc_RNA from 1 species